rnacentral:rRNA from 1 species
UACGGAGGGUGCAAACGUUGCUCGGAAUUAUUGGGCGUAAAGCGCACGUAGGCGGUCCAGCAAGUCGGGAGUGAAAUCCCUCGGCUCAACCGAGGAAGUGCUUUCGAAACUACUGGGCUUGAAUACUGGAGAGGGUUGCGGAAUUCCCGGUGUAGAGGUGAAAUUCGUAGAUAUCGAGAGGAACACCUGAGGCGAAGGCGGGUUGCUAGGCUGACACUGACGCUGAGGCGCGAAAGCUAGGGUAGCAAACGGG